rnacentral:rRNA from 1 species
GAAUCUGCCCUCAGGAGGGGGAUAACGGUUGGAAACGACCGCUAAUACCCCAUAUGCCGAGAGGUGAAAUGAAAUUCGCCUGAGGAUGAGCUCGCGUCUGAUUAGCUAGUUGGUAAGGUAAUGGCUUACCAAGGCAUUGAUCAGUAGCUGGUCUGAGAGGAUGAUCAGCCACACUGGGACUGAGACACGGCCCAGACUCCUACGGGAGGCAGCAGUGGGGAAUUUUCCGCAAUGGGCGCAAGCCUGACGGAGCAACGCCGCGUGAGGGAUGAAGGCCUCUGGGCUGUAAACCUCUUUUAUCAAGGAAGAAGAACUGACGGUACUUGAUGAAUAAGCCACGGCUAAUUCCGUGCCAGCAGCCGCGGUAAUACGGGAGUGGCAAGCGUCAUCCGGAAUUAUUGGGCGUAAAGCGUCCGCAGGCGGUUUUACAAGUCUGUCGUUAAAGCGUGGAGCUCAACUCCAUUUCAGCGAUGGAAACUGUAAGACUCGAGUGUGGUAGGGGCAGAGGGAAUUCCCGGUGUAGUGGUGAAAUGCGUAGAUAUCGGGAAGAACACCAGUGGCGAAAGCGCUCUGCUGGGCCAUAACUGACGCUCAUGGACGAAAGCCAGGGGAGCG